AACGAACGCUGGCGGCAUGCCUAACACAUGCAAGUCGAACGACACCUUCGGGACUGGUUGCUCACGGGUGCGUAACGCGUCGGAACCUUCCCUUAUGCUCGGAAUAACUCCCCGUCAGGGGUGCUAAUGCCGGGUAAUUUCUUCUGACCAAAGAUUUAUCCACCUGGUAUGGGCCGGCGUUGUAUUAGCUGGUUGGGAGGGUAAAAGCCUACCAAGGCGUCGAUACAUAGCUGGUAUGAGAGGAAGGGCAGCGACACUGAGAGUGAGACGCGGCCCAGAAUAUUACGGGAGGGAGCAAUGGGGGAUAUAGGACAAUGGGCGAAAGGAUGAUGCAGCAAUGCCGGGUGAGUGAUGAAGGCCGUAGAGAUGUAAAGCUCUUUUAUCCGGGAUGAUAAUGACAGUACCGAGAGAAUAAGCACCGGCUAACUCCGUG
rnacentral:rRNA from 1 species